rnacentral:lncRNA from 1 species
UAUUCAUAUGUUGGCCGUUCUUCGAUCAUGGUGGACCCUCCACCUGGUUCUCUUGAUUCUACACUCCCUCAGUUCAGUGCGCGCAUUCUGUUUCCCAAAUUCCACAAGCCCAAAUUCGUCCUGUCUCUUCCACCUUCUGAGUCUGAAUGUCCUCCGUCUGUGCCCGAGGCUGGUGUCCAUUCACCUCAAGCCUCUGACACACUGUCUGGUUCAGCGGCCCCUCAGGUCCCGUCUUCUGAUGCUUCUGACGUCUGCAUUUUGGAUGUAUCUUCUAGUCAGUCUUUAAUCAGUCCACCACCCGAAACAUCUACUCUAGAAAUGAAAGACACUUCUUUCAAAUUGCCCAGUAUCAA